GGCAAGUGAGGAUGGUUAUAGCAUUGUAUUGAUUAACACCGAACUCGCUUCCAUAGCCCAGGGGUGUAGAGAUCAUUGCAAAUGCGAUCUUCUGGUAUGUGGAGGCACUGUUUUUCCAAGGAGAGUCCUGCCUCAGUGGUACCUAGUCUUUCAUCAAAUUUUGGGAAUGUGAAAGAAGGCAGGUGAACUCUUGAAUAUUCUCACCAGCUCUAAGUUCCUCUGAUUCUAACUCUACUCAGUUUGUGUCAUCCUGUUUCUCCUUGAUGGAAAGAGAUUUGGAAGCAUUCUGAUUCCUAAUGGAAUCAUCAGAGCAAGUGCAACCAGGGCAAGCCCUGUGGACAAAUACUCUUUGCGAGUUCAGUCUGACAACUGCCCACCCAGAGUGCUGGUACCUACCUAAGGAUAACCCAGCUGCUAGAGAAAGAACUUCUUCUGGCCCCUUGGGCUUAGCCAAGGUGCUUACCGUAUUCAAAUCUAUGAUACAUGUCAGCACAAACCUGGCCAGUGUUACUGCGAAGUGAUGUCAGCAGGUCCAUUAACCCAGAAAGGCGAUUUUAUGAAGCUCUUCACUGGGCUUGAAGCCCAGGAGCAUGGAUGUAGAUGAGUGAAAUGGUGGCAAGA